rnacentral:tRNA from 1 species
ACGUUGUCACUUGGGAGCGGCGGUUUCCUAAACCGCAGGUCAGAGGUUCGAGUCCUCUCGGGCGUA